CAUUGAUCAUUCACAAAACUUAGAAAUUCACCAUGGCUGCGAUGAACCAUGUCUCAGACCUGAGGCCUUGGUAAGUGAUGCUUACAAUAUCAAAGUGCGUAGAGUCAUUCAUUGAUUUUGGUUAUUCCGGCUCAAUCUCCUACGGGAAGUGAUGGCACGUUUGGAGGGACAUUUCCAACACAGUCGGAUGCACCCGAGGGGUCCCUGAUCUUGCAUGGUGGUAUGAUCUGAGACCAACCAAGCGAACAAGGACUCCAAUCAUUAAUUUGGAGGAGUCUUUUGAUCAGAACUCUGUUACAAGAUCAGUGUGUACUAUAAAGAUCAAGAAGGAGAAGUUUGAAAAAGUGGCUAGUGAGACUAGGCGUUAGUGGAAGUGUGAGCAGAGGCUUAUGUUUGCAUAAUGCUAUGAGUUUUUUCGUUUUGAUUUUCAGUUCUGGACUUCAGUUCGUUCUGUGGUUUCU